rnacentral:rRNA from 1 species
GCCAGGAGCCAUAUCUCCCAGCAAUUCACAACUAGCAAACCCUUGAAGUUAAGCAGGUGUGAGCCAGGUCAGUACCUGGAUGGGAGACCUCCUGGGAAAAACUAAGGUUGCUGCUGGAA